rnacentral:lncRNA from 1 species
UCGGAGAACAUGGAUUCCUGGCUGCACCAGAUCUGACAUCUGAAAUGAGGAAACUUCAACUGAACGGGAAAAAUUUGUCAGCCAGAACCUAGAAUAUGCAGUCAAUUAUAUAUCUAAACCAGUACCUGAGGAUUCCUUUCUCUGCCCCCAAGUUUUUAAAACAUGGAGAACAAGAAAGAAAGAACCCGAGGAACAACUCAGAGGAGCCCUUGUCAUCACAUUAAACUAUUACCCAAAGUCUCAGAAAUUGUAUUGAAUAACCCAGUUUUGUGAAGCCAAAUAAACCAAAGUGUUAGAAUAUAGACCA